rnacentral:lncRNA from 1 species
GACUUUUUUCCUCCUGCUCUCAAACAAGGGCUUCCCUGUCUCAGGGGAAGAUUCUGAUCUUCCACGACCUGAGGAUUUCUCCAUUUGUCUUUCAGAAUCCAACAUGUUUGUCCAAACUUCACAAUGGAAAGAAGAUUCCAAUGGCAGGGCUGUCUGACUCAUCACCAAUAGAGGGAGCCAGAGAACAUAGAACUGUGCUAGGAGCUGUCUUAGAGCUGCAUAAGAAAUUGCGCUACACCUGACAAAGCAGCUAACUCCAAAGCUAUUGGAGGCAGGGAUCCUGGUCCCAAAUAGAACCUGGACUCCAUAUAGAAUUUUCCAGCCAGCAGGCCUCAGCAACUGAGAAAGCAGAUUGAACUGAACAACCCCAGGGUCAAUUUUGUGAAAAGAACAAAGUGAGGCCAGAAUCAAGUAUUUUGUACAAGAUGGAGACAACCAUCCAGAUGUUUGGCCCACAUACUCAGAUGGCAACCAUCCAGAUGUUUUGGUGUUGUGUAGAUGAGAGAGAAGCCAACAACUGCCAGAAACUGCCUUCUUCAGAGUUCCGGAACCUGGGCCCUGCUUCUGACCUGCAGGAUCUCCUGCUUUGCAGCAAAGACCUAAUCUUACAACAACAGAGCCUUUCCUGAGGUAACAAACACAGACCACUAUAUAACAGGGAUGGAUGUUGGAUUGAUUGAACAAGGAAAGGUGAAAUGGGAAUUUGGGAUAAUCCUAAACUAAUGUCAACUACCUAAACCCCCCAGAUCUAAAUAUCUCUUCCAGAGAUUUCUUCACAGAUUUUGAGCUAACCUAACCCUUACCUGUCUGUCUAAAGACCCUAGUCCCUAAUAUAGAUAAACCUACACUAACCAAUCCCCCUUUUGAUGGUAAUAGAGGUUGUGGGUUUUGGCAGUUUGGCAGGAAAGGGCACAGGGAGAGGUUCUGGAUCCAGAAGGACCCCAGACCCAAU